rnacentral:rRNA from 1 species
AGCAGCCGCGGUAAUUCCAGCUCCAAUAGCGUAUAUUAAAGUUGUUGCAGUUAAAAAGCUCGUAGUUGAAUUUCGGGGUUAGUAGAUUGGUCGUGCCUCUGGUAUGUACUGGUCUUACUGAUUCCUCCUUCCUGAUGAACCGUAAUGCCAUUAAUUUGGUGUUGCGGGGAAACUGGACUGUUACUUUGAAAAAAUUAGAGUGUUUAAAGCAGGCUAACGCUUGAAUACAUUAGCAUGGAAUAAUGAAAUAGGACGUUCGAUCCUAUUUUGUUGGUUUCUAGGAUUGACGUAAUGAUUAAUAGGGAUAGUUGGGGGCAUUAGUAUUCAAUUGUCAGAGGUGAAAUUCUUGGAUUUAUUGAAGACUAACUACUGCGAAAGCAUUUGCCAAGGAUGUUUUCAUUAAUCAAGAACGAAAGUUAGGGGAUCGAAGACGAUCAGAUACCGUCGUAGUCUUAACCAUAAACUAUGCCGACUAGGGAUCGGAUGAUGUUAAUUUUUUAAUGACUCAUUCGGCGCCUUACG